rnacentral:rRNA from 1 species
GACGAACGCUGGCGGCGUGCCUAAUACAUGCAAGUCGAGCGAAGUUUUUCUGGUGCUUGCACUAGAAAAACUUAGCGGCGCACGGGUGAGUAACACGUAAAGAACCUGCCUCAUAGACUGGGACAACUAUUGGAAACGAUAGCUAAUACCGGAUAACAGUAUUUCUCGCAUGAGAGAUAUUUAAAAGUUGGUUAUGCUAACACUAUGAGAUGGCCUUGCGGUGCAUUAGCUAGUUGGUGGGGUAAAGGCCCACCAAGGCGACGAUGCAUAGCCGACCUGAGAGGGUGAUCGGCCACACUGGGACUGAGACACGGCCCAGACUCCUGCGGGAGGCAGCAGUAGGGAAUCUUCCGCAAUGGGCGAAAGCCUGACGGAGCAACGCCGCGUGAGUGAAGAAGGAUUUCGGUUCGUAAAGCUCUGUUGUUAGGGAAGAAUGGAUAUGUAGUAACUAUACAUGUAAGAGACGGUACCUAACCAGAAAGCCACGGCUAACUACGUG